rnacentral:lncRNA from 1 species
CCUGUUGUGGCGAGUGGGACAUGUGGCGAGCGCGGGUCGGCCUGUGGAGAUCCGCGAUCAUAAUGGCGCCGGAUCCCAGGGUCUAUUUAAACCCGUCUUUCUGCUUUCAGGAGUCUCAUUCUGCCUGAGAGCUCUGUCGGUGUCUGCCUUCUCUUCGAGAGCCCUGACCCUCUUUGGCGUCCACCUUGGCCCUAAGUGCUCUUCGAGUCAUCCCUGUCCUCGCCCCUCUGCAUCCUUCGGAGCGAUGUAGGUUAGUCUCGGAACCUUCGUUUCUCCUCUUGCCAUCUAGGUGCCUUUUCUCCUCCAUUUUUCUUCUGCCACAUUCCUCUGGUUUGAUUUUCCGCAAACCAUUCGCCUCUUGCCCCGCC